rnacentral:rRNA from 1 species
UACGUAGGGUGCAAGCGUUGUCCGGAAUUAUUGGGCGUAAAGGGCUCGUAGGCGGUUUGUCGCGUCGGGAGUGAAAACUCAGGGCUUAACCCUGAGCCUGCUUCCGAUACGGGCAGACUAGAGGUAUGCAGGGGAGAAUGGAAUUCCUGGUGUAGCGGUGAAAUGCGCAGAUAUCAGGAGGAACACCGAUGGCGAAGGCGGCAUCCUGGACCAACACUGACGCUGAGGAGCGAAAGCCAGGGGGAGCAAACGGG